GUUGUAAUUUGCAGAGGAUGUUAUGGAAUCUGUAUGGACUCAAGUUUUUUGGAAAAAGACGCCAUGGAGAGUGAUAGUCUCGUACUUUCCAGUACAUUUUCCAUGUAUAACUCCUUCAAAGAGUCGAGUUGUUUGGGAAUGCAGCUCUAAGUGGGACGUAAAUUUGUUCCAAAGCUAAAUACCGGCUAGAGACCGAUAGCGCACAAGUAGAGUGAUCGAAAGAUGAAAAGCACUUUGAAAAGAGAGUUAAAAAGCAUGUGAAAUUGUUGAAAGUGAAGCUUAUGUCAUCAGAAAUGGUUUCAUUGUUCAGCAUUUUGGUGUAUUCAAUGGCGACCAGGCUAGCAUCAGUUUGGACAGUUGGAUAAAAGUGUUGGAAAUGUAACUUCUCUGGAAGUGUUAUAGUCCGAUGCAGAAUGCAGCUCGUCCAGACUGAGGACCGCUUUAAGGAUGCU
rnacentral:rRNA from 1 species